rnacentral:lncRNA from 1 species
GUAAAAUGACAGAAACCAAUGAAAUUUUUUCUUAUGGAUGGGAAACCACUUUUGCUCCUCUUGGUAUUUGAAAUAAUUUUCCAUAUAUUGUGGAAACCAUUCUGUCUCGCCCGCCUGCCGGAACAUGAAUUCUCCAGAUCGGGCAGGUAGGCCGGCGGACGGGGCCCUUCGAAGAAGUGCCUCCACCCGCUGCAGCCACUACUUUGACUCCUUUUAUGCAAUUAUGAACUCCACGGAACUUUUAUCACACUAAAAAAGGGGGAAAGAAACAACCUUUGAAGGCUGUUUGCUUUCAGCAUCUCUAGGGAAAUCAAAUUGAAACCCAAUCUGCAUAUGUGCUAAUAGCAUGUCCCUUAUAUAGGCUACUCCUUAUAAGUACGCACCCACAAAAUAGCAAAUGAGGCUGUAAACAUAAAAGCCAACAACAGAUACGAAAUAAUGCUCUUUGGGUGUUCUGGUCUUCAAAACUUUGUUAUUUUGUACUUACCUGAAAUUGAGACAGAGGCGCCUGCCACGAGAUGAUGAUCGGAGCGGAGACGGUUAGUGGCUUCUUCGAAUUGGAGUGGCGACGAGGAGUUGCUUCUUCGAAUUGGAGUGGCGACGGCGAGAGGCUGUGUAUCGAGUCGAAUUGGAGGCGCG